rnacentral:tRNA from 1 species
AAGGUUUUAGCUUAAUUAAAGUGUCUGCUUUGCAUGCAGAAGCUGUAGGUUAAUGUCCUGCAAGUCUUA